rnacentral:rRNA from 1 species
AUGCUUUACAGCUUAGAACCGGGGCUCCAAAAGUGUUUUGAGCAACACGGAGCAUAUGAGAUGUUCGAAGAGCUGAAAAUGGUUUUCCAAGCUCAUGCCCGGGUCGAGAGAUGUGAAGUCUCCGACAAGUUCUUUAGUUGUAAGAUGGAGGGAAAUAGUUUUGUCAGUGAGCACAUACUCAAAAUGUCUGGGUUGCACAACUGCUUGACUCAGCUGGGAUUUAAUCUCCCGGAUGACGUGGUUAUUGACAGAAUCCUUCAGUCGCUUCCAACGAGCUACAAGAGCUUUGUGAUGAACUUCAAUAUGCAGGGGAUGGAAAAGACCAUUCCUAAGGUAUAUUCAAUGCUGAAAUCAGCGGAGGUAGAGAUCAAGAAGGAA